UGGCCCCACAAUAAAAGAAUGAUCGUUGCUUCGAUGGAGGUAAAUCCAGAAAAGCGCUAGGAACGCAACCAAGUUACAAAAAAGUUUUUCAUUACAGUGACUUGACUGUUAGUGUUGCUCUCCACCAAUUGCAACUCAUUCAAAAUUUUGACCAAAUUGCAAUUUGUUUUAUAAAAUCAAAUUGUUCAACUGGUCAGAAAUUUGAACCAACUGCUGUAGAAAAC
rnacentral:lncRNA from 1 species